UACGAAGGGGCUAGCGUUGCUCGGAAUCACUGGGCGUAAAGGGUGCGUAGGCGGGUCUUUAAGUCAGGGGUGAAAUCCUGGAGCUCAACUCCAGAACUGCCUUUGAUACUGAAGAUCUUGAGUCCGGGAGAGGUGAGUGGAACUGCGAGUGUAGAGGUGAAAUUCGUAGAUAUUCGCAAGAAUACCAGUGGCGAAGGCGGCUCACUGGCCCGGUACUGACGCUGAGGUGCGAAAGCGUGGGGAGCAAACAGGG
rnacentral:rRNA from 1 species